AUUGAACGCUGGCGGCAUGCCUUACACAUGCAAGUCGAGCGCGAAAGGGGGGCAACCCCCGAGUAGAGCGGCGGACGGGUGAGUAAUACAUCGGAACGUACCCAGUAGUGGGGGACAACCUCGAGAAAUCGAGGCUAAUACCGCAUACGACCCACGGGUGAAAGCGGGGGACCGCAAGGCCUCGCGCUAUUGGAGCGGCCGAUGUCCGAUUAGCUAGUUGGCGGGGUAAGAGCCCACCAAGGCGACGAUCGGUAACUGGUCUGAGAGGACGACCAGCCACACUGGGACUGAGACACGGCCCAGACUCCUACGGGAGGCAGCAGUGGGGAAUUUUGGACAAUGGGGGCAACCCUGAUCCAGCCAUGCCGCGUGCGGGAAGAAGGCCUUCGGGUUGUAAACCGCUUUCGGCCGGAACGAAAUCGCCCGGGUGAACAUCCCGGGUGGGUGACGGUACCGGAAGAAUAAGCACCGGCUAACUACGUGCCAGCCGCCGCCGUAACAC
rnacentral:rRNA from 1 species